GCACUGUUGAUGAGUUUUACAAUAGGACGAAACGGCCGUCCAGUGC
rnacentral:hammerhead_ribozyme from 1 species